GUGCAGCAGGCGCGAAACUUUACAAUGUGCGAAAGCACGAUAAGGGAACUCUGAGUGCCUCCUAAGGAGGCUGUUCAGGUGUCUAAAAGCACCUGAAGGAAGGGCUGGGUAAGACCGGUGCCAGCCGCCGCGGUAACACCGGCAGCCCAAGUGGUAGCCACGUUUAUUGGGUCUAAAGCGUCCGUAGCCGGCUGGGUAAGUUCCUUGGGAAAUUUGGCUGCUUAACAGUCAAGCUUUCAGGGAAUACUGCCCGGCUUGGGACCGGGAGAGGUCAGAGGUACUCCAGGGGUAGGGUGAAAUCCAUUAAUCCUUGGGGGACCACCGGUAGCGAAGGCGUCUGACCAGACCGGGUCCGACGGUGAGGGACGAAGGCUAGGGGCGCGAACCGGAUUAGAUA
rnacentral:rRNA from 1 species